rnacentral:rRNA from 1 species
UUAUGGCUCAGGAUGAACGCUGGCGGCGUGCCUAACACAUGCAAGUCGAGCGAUUUACUUCGGUAAAGAGCGGCGGACGGGUGAGUAACGCGUGGGUAACCUGCCUCAUACACAUGGAUAACAUACCGAAAGGUAUGCUAAUACAGGAUAAUAUAAGAGAUUCACAUGGAUUUCUUAUCAAAGCUCCGGCGGUAUGAGAUGGACCCGCGUCUGAUUAGCUAGUUGGUAAGGUAAUGGCUUACCAAGGCGACGAUCAGUAGCCGACCUGAGAGGGUGAUCGGCCACAUUGGAACUGAGACACGGUCCAAACUCCUGCGGGAGGCAGCAGUGGGGAAUAUUGCACAAUGGGCGAAAGCCUGAUGCAGCAACGCCGCGUGAGUGAUGAAGGCCUUCGGGUCGUAAAACUCUGUCCUCAAGGAAGAUAAUGACGGUACUUGAGGAGGAAGCCCCGGCUAACUACGUGCCAGCCGCAGC